rnacentral:rRNA from 1 species
GCCCUUAGAGUUUGAUCCUGGCUCAGGAUGAACGCUGGCGGCGUGCCUAACACAUGCAAGUCGAGCGAGAACCGAAAAGACAGAAUCUUCGGCCGAAGGAUUUUUGGGGAAAGCGGCGGACGGGUGAGUAACGCGUAGGUAACCUGCCCUAUACACGGGGAUAGCCACUGGAAACGGUGAUUAAUACCCGAUAGUCUCUUGUAACGCAUGUUAUGAGAGGGAAAGAUUUAUCGGUAUGGGAUGGACCUGCGUCUGAUUAGCUAGGGGGGGGGGUAAUGGCCUACCAAGGCAACGAUCAGUAGCCGACCUUAGAGGGUGAUCGGCCACACUGGGACUGAGAACGGCCCACACUCCUACGGGAGGCAGCAGUGGGGAAUAUUGCACAAUGGAGGGAACUCUGAUGCAGCACCGCCGCGUGAGUGAUGAAAUAUUUCGAUAUGUAAAGCUCUGUUCUAGGGGAAGAAAAUGACGGUACCCUAGCAGCAAGCCCCGGCUAACUACGUGCCAGCAGCCGCGGUAAUACGUAGGGGGCAAGCGUUAUCCGGAAUUAUUGGGCGUAAAGCGAACGCAGGCGGCCACAAAGGUCAGAGGUGAAAGACAGGGGCUCAACCCCCUGCGAGCCUUUGAAACCAUUUGGCUUGAGCAUAGGAGGGGAAAGUGGAAUUUCUAGUGUAGCGGUGAAAUGCGUAGAUAUUAGAAGGAACACCGGUGGCGAAGGCGACUUUCUGGACUAUGUCUGACGCUGAGGUACGAAAGCGUGGGUAGCGAACAGGAUUAGAUACCCUGGUAGUCCACGCCGU